rnacentral:rRNA from 1 species
UGGAUCCUACGGGAGGCAGCAGUGAGGAAUAUUGGUCAAUGGUCGGGAGACUGAACCAGCCAAGCCCCGUGAGGGAUGAAGGUACAGAGUAUCGUAAACCUCUUUUGUCAGGGAACAAAGGCGGGGACGCCUCCCCGGAUGAGUGUACCUGAAUAAAAAGCAACGGCUAACUCCGUGCCAGCAGCCGCGGUAAUACGGAGGAUGCGAGCGUUAUCCGGAUUUAUUGGGUUUAAAGGGUGCGCAGGCGGUCUGUUAAGUCAGCGGUCAAAGCCCGGGGCUCAACCCCGGCCCUCCG